AUCCAGACACACCCAUUUCAUGCAACUUAGCCUAUUUUCACCGGAAGAUUCCGCCAAAGCCACCAGGACGGUAACCGUCCUAGAGAACUGACUUGUAACUCAAUUCAACAGAAAAAGAAUGCAUGUUAAGUGCCAGAAUAUAUCUAUGCUAGGAUAUAAAGGAAGAGCAAUAUUUUGCACAUUCUCCAGAAUAGGGAUGAUCCCUAAGGGAGAUAUCAAAGAGUUGGGUAUUCUAAUACUAGGAGGCAGCGUCCGUUCUGCCUAGAGAGCAGAUGUGACUGUUUAGAACUCUUUGUUGAGCGAAUAAACUGGGGAGAAGGGCAAGGUUAAGUCCGACGCAUUUUCAGAUCCGCCACCAUUUACCUUAGGACCUGGAGAAAAGACUGUUUCAGUUAGCUAGCUUGAAGGCCUGCUUGGGAAGCAAGAUAGACAAGGAUUUUUUUUCCCCAUCCUCUAGCCUCACGCCUUAUUUUUCUUUCACAAUUCUGGCCAAAGAAAGCAGUAACUCAUAAUCAGAAGAGAAUUUAUCAUGAAGUUAAUUAAGCUGUGUACCUAAUUUUGUAUCUGUCAUCGUGUAUUCUUAAAAGAAGACUCCGACAUUGUAUAAGUUCUGGAUCUGAACAAAACCUGGAUAAACUCUGGUGCUUUAUUAACUUGAUGAAGAUUAGUGACACUGAGGAAUACUGAGGAACCAGGCUCUAUUCCACCCCAUCCCCUUCAUACACACCUCAUUCCAAAUGCUAUCCUGUCACAGCAGAUGCCACAUCACUUUUGGGGUGGGCUAAGAGAUCAAGGACAUAUGCCGUGCCCAAAUUUCAUCUAAUAAUUAAAAAUACGGGAAGUGACACAAAAGGGAAAACACAGGAUGCUCUGGAAACUUGUUAUAGGCAGCGAGUGGGAAGGAGACCUAGAGUCAGAGGAAGCUACUACUGGAAAGAGGAGCAGAACUGAGCCAGGCAAAUAGGAGAGAAAAUGUAUUUCAGGCAGAAGAAACAGCACUCUGGAAACCCAACAUCUAGCCUUUGAGAAUGUAAAAUGAAGCCAGGAUGACACUACCAAUUCCAAGCUGUGUGUGUGUGCAUGCAUGUGCAUGUAUGUGUAUAUAUAUUAGAUGUAUAUUUUAACAUUCUGACUUAACAUUAAUAUUAACAUAUUAAUAUUUAUUUAUUGAAAUAUUUAACGUGUAUUUUAAUAUUAAAUUCUGGAUUUCCAAACCAGAUCAGAAAUAGUCUUCACUCUGUUUUCAGUAGGUCAGAUCCCACAGGGCAAGAGGGGGAGGAGACAGCUCCCACUGUUUCUUGGCCUUACCUCCACCCCCAUCCCAAUUAAGGCACGUCCCCUUCCCUGCAGCUACCUCUCUAAAGAGCCCUCUCCUUUUAACACUGGUUCCCAGAUUUUCCCAUUUAUCUCACAGCAGCAGGAGUCACAGCUGGGUUCAAUCUCUGCACGCCACCAUCACCGCCCCUCCCCCAAAGUUGUAGAAAUGUUAUUCUAAAUUUAAACCACACAGCACCAAACUAAAAAUGGCUUUAAAAGAGG
rnacentral:lncRNA from 1 species